rnacentral:rRNA from 1 species
UACAGAGGUCUCAAGCGUUGUUCGGAUUCAUUGGGCGUAAAGGGUGCGUAGGUGGCGCCGUAAGUCGGGUGUGAAAUUUCGGAGCUUAACUCCGAAACUGCAUUCGAUACUGCGGUGCUUGAGGACUGGAGAGGAGACUGGAAUUCAUGGUGUAGCAGUGAAAAUGCGUAGAGAUCAUGAGGAAGACCAGUGGCGAAAGGCGGGGUCUCUGGACA